rnacentral:lncRNA from 1 species
AUUAAAAAAACCCCUACGAUUAAAAACCUCAGGUCCCUCAGGCAAUCAUACCAGAUAUUGAAACAAAGCAAUAACAUAAGGACUGCAGUAUUCAUUUUAUUUUUAUAUUAUUUAUUUAUUCUUCCUUAGUUUCUUGAGAUUAUCAUCCGCUGAGGGUGGAAGGGGAGUGAGCAGACACACUCAGGAGGUGUCUUGAGAUUAUCAUCCGCUGAGGGUGGAGCUGAGGGUGGAAGGGGAGUGAGCAGACACUCGGGAGGUGUCUUGAGAUUAUCAUCCGCUGAGGGUGGAAGGGGAUAGAGCACACACUCGGAAGGUGUCUUGAGAUUAUCAUCCGCUGAGGGUGGAAGGGGAUAGAGCACACACUCGGAAGGUGUCUUGAGGCUCAGGGAGUUAUCAAUUAUAGAAUGUUGUUG